rnacentral:rRNA from 1 species
GCAUAUCAAUAAGCGGAGGAAAAGAAACCAACAGGGAUUGCCUUAGUAACUGCGAGUGAAGCGGCAAAAGCUCAAAUUUGAAAUCUGGGGCCUCACAGCCUCCGAAUUGUAAUUUCGCGAUACGUUUUCGACUGAAGGCUCUGCUUUAAGUUCCUUGGAACAGGACGUCACAGAGGGUGAGAAUCCCGUGAUAGGUGGAGCCUGAUGCAUAUGAUACGUAUUCAACGAGUCGAGUUGUUUGGGAAUGCAGCUCAAAAUGGGUGGUAAAUUUCAUCUAAAGCUAAAUAUUGGCGAGAGACCGAUAGCGCACAAGUAGAGUGAUCGAAAGAUGAAAAGCACUUUGAAAAGAGAGUUAAAAAGUACGUGAAAUUGUUGAAAGGGAAGCGCUUGAGACCAGACUCAAUCUGUGGUGAUCAACUUGGCUUCUGUCAGGUGCACUUGCCACUUAUUGGGACAGCAUCGGUUUUGGCGGUGGGAUAAAGUCUUGAGGAAUGUAGCUAUCUUUGGAUAGUGUUAUAGCCUCUUGAGUAAUGCCACCAGCCGGGACCGAGGACCGCGCUUCGGCUAGGAUGCUGUCAUAAUGGUCUUCAGCGACCCG